GGCAGUUGUGUUUCCUACAACAGUUCUUACCCGGGCCCAGUUGGAUUCAAACUGAAAUGCAGUGGGAGCUUUGUACAUCUGUAACAGAAGAAACACCUGCAGAACAGACUGUCAGGCAUCACCGGUGUUGUGCUUCCCAGCAUGCCCUAGCAUUCCUUCAAGCAAACAUUCACAGUAGCAGAAAGUCCAAGAAAAGGCUUGCUCCCUUGAGGAUCAAGAAGAAAGCAACAGUGAAGAAAGGACCAAUAGUAACAUGGAGAAUACGGAAAGCAGAUAAAGAGGAAAAUGAGGAGGUGGAGGUGAGCAGAAGGCAGCUCAGAAAAUUGCACAAGCUGUGGGGAGUUUUUCUCGUCUAGACACUUUCACACAGCAAAGGGAGUGGCUGCCAUCUGCAUCUCCUCAAAAAAAGGAAGGGAAAAAAGGGCUGAGACUGAAAAGGAAAUCCACCUUCAUGCCUCUCACUUUGGCUGUGGUAUGGCUGAUCCACACUGAAUGCCUGCUGUGGGAGGAGAGAGAAAGCUGAGAGGUAUUGUGUCUAAGGAGGCACAACAUUAAGGCAGCAUGUGAAUCCUCAUGCAGGGCUCUGUCCUACUGACACAGUGGGAACAGGAGGGAGGGAACUAUUUUAGUCCUGUUGACGCUGCUGAAGAGUAAAAAUGGAAGUAAUUAAAGGCCUAUUCUAGUCUCACUUAAAUCUUCAAGUCUUCAGGCCAGAAUUAUAUUUGUUACAUUGCUUUAAUGGUGUUGCACUGAUGGUUAGACCAAGUUGUAUUUUUUUUUUUUCCUACCCUGAAUUUGGAAAUGAGCCAGCACUUUUCUGUGGCAGUGCACUCACUUUGCUGAAAUUUUGCCUGUGGAAGAUUGUUCAGGUCCCAGAAGGAAUUUUUCUAAAUCCCAAGCAGCCCCACCGUAACCAGUGCUUGGGCAGCUGGGUUACUGCCUUAUGUUGUAGGAAUAGCAGGUUUGAAUCCCAGCAUUAGCUGGUCUGAAGCUAGACUGGAAAUAAGAAUGACUCCUGAACCUUAGGAAAGGUGCCUGAUAAAUAAUGACCCUCAAGUCUUAUUGUCCCCUAUUUUUUCACUGAGAAUAAACCUCAAAACUUCACUGCUGAGGAGCA
rnacentral:lncRNA from 1 species